rnacentral:rRNA from 1 species
UACGAAGGGGGCUAGCGUUGUUCGGAAUCACUGGGCGUAAAGCGCACGCAGGCGGAUUGAUAAGUCAGGGGUGAAAUCCCGGAGCUCAACUUCGGAAUUGCCUUUGAUACUGUCUGUCUUCGAGUUCGGGAGAGGUUGGCGGAAUUCCUAGUGUAGAGGUGAAAUUCGUAGAUAUUAGGAAGAACACCAGUGGCGAAGGCGGCCAACUGGCCCGAUACUGACGCUCAUGUGCGAAAGCGGGGGGAGCAAACAGG